rnacentral:rRNA from 1 species
UACGGGGGGGGCAAGCGUUGUUCGGAAUUACUGGGCGUAAAGGGCUCGUAGGUGGCCAACUAAGUCAGACGUGAAAUCCCUCGGCUCAACCGGGGAACUGCGUCUGAUACUGGAUGGCUUGAAUCCGGGAGAGGGAUGCGGAAUUCCAGGUGUAGCGGUGAAAUGCGUAGAUAUCUGGAGGAACACCGGUGGCGAAGGCGGCAUCCUGGACCGAUAUUGACGCUGAUGCGCGAAAGCCAGGGGAGCAAACGGG